CCUACGGGGGGCAGCAGUGGGGAAUCUUGCACAAUGGGGGAAACCCUGAUGCAGCGACGCCGCGUGAGCGAUGAAGUCCUUCGGGAUGUAAAGCUCUUUCGACGGGAACGAUAAUGACGGUACCCGGAGAAGAAGCUGCGGCUAACUACGUGCCAGCAGCCGCGGUAAUACGUAGGCAGCGAGCGUUGUUCGGAGUUACUGGGCGUAAAGAGUAUGUAGGCGGUCUGCUUAGUCCGGUGUGAAAUCUCCCGGCUUAACUGGGAGGGUGCGCUGGAUACUGGCAGGCUAGAGUACGGGAGAGGAAAGUGGAAUUCCUGGUGUAGCGGUGAAAUGCGUAGAUAUCAGGAGGAACAUCUGUGGUGAAGACGGCUUUCUGGACCGUAACUGACGCUGAGAUACGAAAGCGUGGGUAGCAAACAGGAUUAGAUACCCCAGUAGUC
rnacentral:rRNA from 1 species